ACGGGAGGCAGCAGUGGGGGAUAUUGCACAAUGGGGGAAACCCUGAUGCAGCGACGCCGCGUGAGUGAUGAAGUAUUUCGGUAUGUAAAGCUCUAUCAGCAGGGAAGAUAAUGACGGUACCUGACUAAGAAGCACCGGCUAAAUACGUGCCAGCAGCCGCGGUAAUACGUAUGGUGCAAGCGUUAUCCGGAUUUACUGGGUGUAAAGGGAGCGUAGACGGCAAGGCAAGCCAGAUGUGAAAGGCUGGGGCUCAACCCCGGGACUGCAUUUGGAACUGUCUAGCUAGAGUAUCGGAGAGGUAAGUGGAAUUCCUAGUGUAGCGGUGAAUUGCGUAGAUAUUCGGAGGAACACCAGUGGCGAGGGCGGCCUACUGGGCUUUAACUGACGCUGAGGCUCGAAAGUGUGGGGAGCAAACAGGAUUAGAUACCCUGGUA
rnacentral:rRNA from 1 species